UUGGAGGGCAAGUCUGGUGCCAGCAGCCGCGGUAAUUCCAGCUCCAAUAGCGUAUAUUAAAGUUGUUGUGGUUAAAAAGCUCGUAGUUGAACCUUGGGCCUGGCUGGCCGGUCCGCCUCACCGCGUGUACUGGUCCGGCCGGGCCUUUCCCUCUGUGGAACCCCAUGCCCUUCACUGGGUGUGGCGGGGAAACNGGACUUUUACNGUGAAAAAAUUGAGUGCUCCAGGCAGGCCUAUGCUCGAAUACAUUAGCAUGGAAUAAUAGAAUAGGA
rnacentral:rRNA from 1 species